GAGCGAGAAAGUGACUUCGGUCACGAGUAGAGCGGCGGACGGGUGAGUAAUGCGUGGAUAAUCUACCCUUAAGUCUGGGAUAACUUCGGGAAACUGAAGCUAAUACCGGAUAUGACCACGCCAUUUGCGAAUGAAGUGGUGAAAGGUGGCUAGCUUGCUAGCUAUCACUUAGGGAUGAGUCCACGUCCCAUCAGGUUGUUGGUGAGGUAAAUGCUCACCAAGCCUAAGACGGGUAGCCGACCUUAGCGGGUGAACGGCCACACGGGGACUGAGACACGGCCCCGACUCCUACGGGAGGCAGCAGUGGGGAAUAUUGGGCAAUGGGCGAAAGCCUGACCCAGCGAUACCGCGUGAGGGAUGAAGGCUUUCGAGUUGUAAACCUCUGUCAAGAGGGAAGAUGGGUCUGUAAGCUAAUACCUUACAGACUUGACGGUACCUCUAAAGGAAGCCCCGGCUAACUCCGUGCCAGCAGCCGCGGUAAUACGGAGGGGGCAAGCGUUGCUCGGAAUUACUGGGCGUAAAGGGUCCGCAGGUGGUUUUGUAAGUUAGAUGUGAAAGCUCAGGGCUUAACCCUGAAAUUGCAUCUAAAACUGCUUAACUUGA
rnacentral:rRNA from 1 species